AAUCCAUGCACUUUCAUGAAGGGGGAGUUUCACGUACUAGACAAGUUACCCCUCACCCGGAAGAAAAAGCAAAAGAAAACGGAGUGAGAGCGUUAUGACUCCACCCCCGACCUUGGUUCAUACACUCCCUGAUAACCUCUUUUUACCUAUACAUUCUAAAAAAAACGUAAAUAGAUCAAAAGAUUCAUCUCCCUGUUUACAAAAUUAAAACUAACGGAUUUUUAAAACCUAAAUGACAGGAAAAAAAAUAAAAAAGAGCUAAUCACCACGAGGAAUAACGUUAUCACAAAGAAAAAGGGGCGUGUCCUGAAGACGGAACUCUUGGGUACAGUGACCGUAAUGUUAUCCGCCAGUCUCACCUCAGGAAACAAGGAGGAAGGAUAUCUUGUUUAACUUUCGAUCAGGAAGUUUUAUAUCACAGAGUUUCGGAAUCGAAACUAAGAAGCAUAUUAAAACUUCACGAGAAUUCGGCCAAACGAAGGAAAAGCAAAACAA